CUUGUACGAGACUGAACUUAGCGGCGGACGGGUGAGUAACGCGCGAGCGACCCGCCCUAUACCCCCCCGAUAACAGGGAGAAACUCCUGCUAAUACCGCAUAACACCACAGUACUGCAUGGUACAGGGGUCAAAGGAGGAAUCCGGUAUAGGAUGGGCCCGCGUCCCAUUAGCUAGGUGGUGAUGUAACGGAUCACCAAGGCGACGAUGGGUAGCCGACCUGAGAGGGGUGACCGGCCACACUGGGACUGAGACACGGCCCAGACUCCUACGGGAGGCAGCAGUAGGGAAUAUUGGACAAUGGGGGGAACCCUGAUCCAGCAACGCCGCGUGAAGGAAGAAGGUCUUCGGAUUGUAAACUUAUGUUGUCGGGGACGAAGAGAGACGGUACCCGACGAGGAAGCCCCGGCUAACUACGUGCCAGCAGCCGCGGUAAUACGUAGGGGGCGAGCGUUAUCCGGAAUUACUGGGCGUAAAGGGCGCGUAGGCGGCAUAUUAAGUUAGAUGUGAAAUCCCCGGGCUUAACCUGGGUGUUGCAUUUAAAACUGAUAAGCUUGAGUGCAGGAGAGGGAAGCGGAAUUCCUAGUGUAGCGGUGGAAUGCGUAGAUAUUAGGAGGAACACCAGUGGCGAAGGCGGCUUUCUGGACUGUAACUGACGCUGAAGCGCGAGAGCGUGGGGAGCAGACAGGAUUAGAUACCCUGGUAGUCCACGCCGUAAACGAUGGAUACUAGGCGUAGAGGGUAUCGACCCCCUCUGUGCCGGAGCAAACGCAAUAAGUAUCCCGCCUGGGGAGUACGGCCGCAAGGUUGAAACUCAAAGGAAUUGACGGGGGCCCGCACAAGCAGCGGAGCAUGUGGUUUAAUUCGAAGCAACGCGAAGAACCUUACCAAGGUUUGACAUUCCCUGACGUAUGUAGAGAUACAUAUUCCCUUCGGGGCAGGGAGACAGGUGGUGCAUGGUUGUCGUCAGCUCGUGUCGUGAGAUGUUGGGUUAAGUCCCGCAACGAGCGCAACCCUUGUAUACAGUUACCAGUAUUAAGUUAGGGACUCUGUAUAGACUGCCGUGGACAACACGGAGGAAGGUGGGGACGACGUCAAAUCAUCAUGCCCCUUAUGUCUUGGGCUACACACGUGCUACAAUGGCCGCAACAGAGGGCAGCGAGAGGGUAACCUGGAGCGAAUCUCAAAAAAGCGGUCUCAGUUCAGAUUGUGGGCUGCAACCCGCCCACAUGAAGACGGAGUUGCUAGUAAUCGCGGAUCAGCAUGCCGCGGUGAAUGCGUUCCCGGGCCUUGCACU
rnacentral:rRNA from 1 species